rnacentral:piRNA from 1 species
UAGUUCCCGGAAACAUUUGCC